UUGAUCCUGGCUCAGGAUGAACGCUGGCGGCGUGCUUAACACAUGCAAGUCGAACGAUGAUGCCAGCUUGCUGGUGGAUUAGUGGCGAACGGGUGAGUAACACGUGAGUAACCUGCCCUUGACUCUGGGAUAAGCCUGGGAAACUGGGUCUAAUACCGGAUAUGACCUUCCAUCGCAUGGUGGUUGGUGGAAAGCUUUUGUGGUUUUGGAUGGACUCGCGGCCUAUCAGCUUGUUGGUGGGGUAAUGGCCUACCAAGGCGACGACGGGUAGCCGGCCUGAGAGGGUGACCGGCCACACUGGGACUGAGACACGGCCCAGACUCCUACGGGAGGCAGCAGUGGGGAAUAUUGCACAAUGGGCGCAAGCCUGAUGCAGCGACGCCGCGUGAGGGAUGACGGCCUUCGGGUUGUAAACCUCUUUCAGUAGGGAAGAAGCGUAAGUGACGGUACCUGCAGAAGAAGCGCCGGCUAACUACGUGCCAGCAGCCGCGGUAAUACGUAGGGCGCAAGCGUUAUCCGGAAUUAUUGGGCGUAAAGAGCUCGUAGGCGGUUUGUCGCGUCUGCCGUGAAAGUCCGGGGCUCAACUCCGGAUCUGCGGUG
rnacentral:rRNA from 1 species